rnacentral:lncRNA from 1 species
UCAGAUCGAAGUGUUGUAUUUUGCAAAAAGUGCUGAAAUCGCUGGCGUUCGCUCCGAGACCAUCUCUGUGCCACAGGAAAUCAAGGCAUCACAGCUGUGGCAGGAGCUAGAGACUCUCCAUCCUGGGUUGGCUGAUGUUAGAAACCAGGUGAUAUUUGCUGUUCGUCAAGAGUAUGUCGAGCUUGGAGAUCAACAACUCCUGCUUCAGCCUGGAGACGAAGUUGCCAUCAUCCCACCAAUCAGUGGAGGAUAGUGCGUCUGAGCCAUCGGGGUCUCAACUUUGAACAUUACCUCUUUAGAAAGACCUUUGGGCUCUCUAUCUGCAACAUUCCCCGAGACCUGUCUCAGAAAUUCGUCUAUUUCCAUAGUUACUUCAGUGUGGAAAGAUGUGGAUGAUGUGCUGGAGAAACCUAAGGACAUAAUACAGUUCACUGCCAAGAAGCUCUCAGUGGGGGAAGUGUCACAGCUGGUGGUGUCCCCUCUGUGUGGCGCAGUGUCUCUCUUUGUAGGGACUACAAGAAAUAACUUCGAAGGCAAGAAAGUCAUUAGCUUAGAAUAUGAAGCAUAUCUACCCAUGGCAGAAAAUGAAAUCAGAAAAAUUUGCAAUGACAU